AGUAAGUCUCGAAAGUACGCCUGUCACCUCUGCUUGACUUGAGACUCCCCCAUCAGAACUCUACCAUCCUCGCCUUUGAUGCACAUAACUUGGUCAAGAUCACACGCCUUCCUUUCCCUUGCUUUAGCUAACCGGAAUAACUUCAUGUCCCCGUCUCUCUCCCCUAGUUCCUCGUACAUGCGACCAAACGCCGCGUUUUUAGCUACCAUAACCACCAGCUUUGCUUCUUUCCUCGCCAUAUUUUUAAAAAAUUAUAUUUGAUUGAUGAUGCAAUUUUUAUUUGUAAAAAGAAAAGGAAUUAUAUAUUGAUGUCCUUUCGUCAUUUCAAGAGUGUUUCUACCUUUUCUGAUUCUUUAAUUUAUGAACCUUAUUUCCAAAGAGACACUUAGUCAAAGCUUCGCAUAAAUAGUAUCUGAAAUUUUUACAAAAUCGUUGUAUUACAUACCUUAUGUUACACGUGCCAAGAAACUAGUAUAACUGAAAACAGAAAGAAUAACAAAUCUAGAAGUUCAAGUGCUCAACUGAAAGGAUGGUUACUAGAAAGUUGAUUCAUUUGCAGUCUCAGGUUCGCUAUGUAGUAUCUGUGCCGCAUCUUAUUUAUGAAGAUGAUAAUGUGCAGUAAUUGUUUGAAAAUUAUGAUAUGCAUUUAGAAAAUAAAGUGGUGAUGCCCUUGCUUGUCUUUCGUUUCCCCCUUUCUCAUGUCUUUGCUCCUCUCUUAAGUGUAAAAUUGAAAAUUUAUGGUCUUAAGCAUAUGGGUGACAUUACAUGAGGUCUUGAUUUCUGUUGUACGAAGUUGUUAACAGUAUGCCACAUGAAAUGAUUAGAUAUAUUCUGGAAGAUGCUCUUUUACAAGUCUAGUACCACACAUUAUGUGCUACCUUU
rnacentral:lncRNA from 1 species